AUGUCCAUGAAAGAGCUUGUGGGAAGGCUCAAAACGGCGGAGGACCGGAGCGACUUGGACGAGGGCGCCAGCAACUACGACCAGGGUGGUGGGAGUCGCCUGCUCCUCACGGAGGAGGAGUGGCUUGCUCGCCACCGCAGCGGCACCGGCAAGAAGAAGAGCACCUUCGACAUCCGUAAGGUGCGCUGCUACAACUGCCAAGACUAUGGCCAUUUCGCGAAGGAUUGCACCGCGCCAAGGAAAGAGCAGGCCCAUCUCGCCGCCGCGACUGCCGACGACGAGCCGGGGCUGCUUUGA
rnacentral:rRNA from 1 species